GUCUUCUGUCCUAGUUAGGACAGCUGAGACCAGUUCAUCACUGGAUGGGUGUAACCCAAAACUGUGCAUUCUAUAGCCUUCCAUGCCAUUUCCCAGAAACUAAACUAUCUGUUGUCAACAGACUAUUU